CGGUGGUGGCGGCUGGGGCGGCAAUCACGGUGGUGGCUGG
rfam:Devosia limi DSM 17137 NODE_89, whole genome shotgun sequence.